rnacentral:rRNA from 1 species
GGGGAAUAUUGCACAAUGGGGGAAACCCUGAUGCAGCAACGCCGCGUGAGUGAUGACGGCCUUCGGGUUGUAAAGCUCUUUCUUCAGGGACGAUAAUGACGGUACCUGAGGAGGUAGCCACGGCUAACUACGUGCCAGCAGCCGCGGUAAUACGUAGGUGGCGAGCGUUGUCCGGAUUUACUGGGCGUAAAGGGAGCGUAGGCGGACUUUUAAGUGAGAUGUGAAAUACUCGGGCUCAACUUGAGUGCUGCAUUUCAAACUGGAAGUCUAGAGUGCAGGAGAGGAGAAUGGAAUUCCUAGUGUAGCGGUGAAAUGCGUAGAGAUUAGGAAGAACACCAGUGGCGAAGGCGAUUCUCUGGACUGUAACUGACACUGAGGCACGAAAGCGUGGGGAGCAAACAGG